GGCGCUGCGGAAAACGGCGAGCUCGGGCUAGGGUUUCGCGUAGGGGCGCGUGCGGCGACGGCUUAGGCUAUUUAUAGCCGGAGUCGAUCCUCGGGGUGCGGGUUUUGCGCGGAAACCGAGGAGGAGGCGGCGCGGCGCUCCCCCAUCCGAUUCGGACGGAGGUUGAAGACGCCCCCCCCUGACGGGUGGGACCCACUCGCGGGCCCCACUGUCAGCGGCUGCGGGGCGGGAGCUGCUGCUGCGCGGCUUGGGCCGCGGGAUGGGCCGCGCGGCCUGCUGGCUGGCGCGAGGGGAAAGGAGAGAGGGGGGGAAAAGCCGGCCCAGGGCGUUUGCCUCGCCUUUUUUUUUCUUUUUUUUUAAAACAGUUUUCUCCUAUUUAAUUAUUUCUCCAACAAAAACUUCAAGCACCAGCACACAAAUCAAAUAGAUGCAGCGGCAUGAAUGCAUACGAGCAAGGUUUCUACCUUAUAUUUAAUUUUAUUUAAUUUUGUAAAUUAUUUAAUAUUUCCCAAAAAUUCAAAUUGAGCCAAAAUAAAAUCAAAUUCAAACUAAAUUUAAAAUUCAAAAAUUUGGAGUGUUAUAGCAAUGAGCUCCUCCAUCAUCACAUAAUCACCUAUGGACUAAUCACCUUUAUAUCUCACAUAAACACUAUUAGUCCACAUAAGUUGUCACUCAAUUACCAAAACCAAACAAGGAACGUUCAUCCAGGCUUAACAACCUUCGGUGCAAGUAUGGCUCAAAUAGUGUUCAACAAUGUUGGGGGCAAACCACCAUUCUUUGAUGGCACAAGUUCUUUUGAUUACUAAAAGAGAAAGAUGAAGAUGUACCUUGGAUCAAUCAAUGAUAGAGUUAGGGAAGUCACCGAGAAUGACCUUAUGAUCCUUGAUCCCGCCAACCCCACCGACAAUGAGAGAGCCAACAAGCAACAUCAUACAAUGGCUUAAUAUACAAAGUAUAAAGAGAGGAGACAUAUAACUAUCCCGUAGCACAUGACAUAUCAUUCGGUUCACCAUGUAUUAACUAUGAAGAAUCAACUACUGUAUAGGUGAGCAUUGAGAAGGUUACAAGAAACCUUAUGGCUAGC
rnacentral:lncRNA from 1 species